rnacentral:rRNA from 1 species
GUGGGGAAUCUUAGACAAUGGGCGCAAGCCUGAUCCAGCCAUGCCGCGUGAGUGAUGAAGGCCUUAGGGUUGUAAAGCUCUUUUGUCCGGGAAGAUAAUGACUGUACCGGAAGAAUAAGCCCCGGCUAACUUCGUGCCAGCAGCCGCGGUAAUACGAAGGGGGCUAGCGUUGCUCGGAAUCACUGGGCGUAAAGGGCGCGUAGGCGGACUUUUAAGUCGGAGGUGAAAGCCCAGGGCUCAACCCUGGAAUUGCCUUCGAUACUGGGAGUCUUGAGUUCGGAAGAGGUUGGUGGAACUGCGAGUGUAGAGGUGAAAUUCGUAGAUAUUCGCAAGAACACCGGUGGCGAAGGCGGCCAACUGGUCCGAAACUGACGCUGAGGCGCGAAAGCGUGGGGAGCAAACAGGAUUAGAUACCCUGGUAGUCC